rnacentral:rRNA from 1 species
AUUGAACGCUGGCGGCAGGCUUAACACAUGCAAGUCGAGCGGGGGAAGGUAGCUUGCUACCGGACCUAGCGGCGGACGGGUGAGUAAUGCUUAGGAAUCUGCCUAUUAGUGGGGGACAACAUCUCGAAAGGGAUGCUAAUACCGCAUACGUCCUACGGGAGAAAGCAGGGGAUCUUCGGACCUUGCGCUAAUAGAUGAGCCUAAGUCGGAUUAGCUAGUUGGUGGGGUAAAGGCCUACCAAGGCGACGAUCUGUAGCGGGUCUGAGAGGAUGAUCCGCCACACUGGGACUGAGACACGGCCCAGA